rnacentral:lncRNA from 1 species
GGCUCGUUCCCCCUGUGCCACCCCUCACACCUCCCCUCUGCUGCUCAGAGCGUUUCAGCGUCCCCUCCGGAGAGCCCCCCCACCGAGGAGCGGACAGGGGGCACAGGGCUGAAGCGGAAACGGGAGGAGAGGGACCCGGCUGGGCAUGAUGUGAGUGCUGCAGAGCGGGUGUGGGGGUGCAGGGGCAUCGCUGCCAGCCCUGGGGUGCAGAAAUCCUGCAAGGAGACGUGAAAACAGCCAAAAGCCCCCAGGGAUGGCGUGGGCAGCCGCCUGCAGGGCUAGAGCUCGUCCAGCCUCACACCCCUGACUGAGCCUUCCUGGGCUUCUCCCCUGUGCAGGAUAGCGAUGGGGACAAGAGUGACUGCAACCUGGUGGUGGAUGAGGACCCCCGCUCUGAGUCCAGCAGCCCCGGUCAGGCACCCAGCAGCCAGCUCCCACCAGCCCGGGACGUGCCCCAGAGCCCUGCCUCCGGUGGUGCCUCCGGUGCCUCCAGCCAGAGCGGGACCCCCCUGCGGCUGCAGGACCAGGGGCUGCCGGACCCCCCAGCCUCCACGUCCUCCGUGUCCCCUCCGCCCCGUGAUGCCCUCACACCUGGCCUGGGGCCGAGCUCAGCUGCGCUCCUCCGGCAGCCUCCAGCCAAGGCACCGGCCAUGGACAGCACCGGUGAGCGCCCGGGGCUGGGCUGAGCGGUUUGGCUCCGUGUUACCAAACCACAGCGAACGUGCGCGCUGGUGCAUUGCCACGUCCUGAAAGCACAAGGACGGGGGUUCAGCGGUGGUGGAGAUUCACCGGAUCCUGGGCCAGUCACGCUCCCUCCUCCUGCCUCGCAUCCUUCAGGACGUUUCAGGAGUUGGAGGGCUGAGG